CUUGAAGUCUGACACUGGUGGUGGGGAACUGCACACCCACUCCACACUUGUGCAUAGCUCUUUAAGGGAGUUUGUACCUGCAGACAGGAUGAGAAGAAAAUGAAAAUGUCACUGAAGCCACCAGCAUUGGUGCUACUCACUGUUUGCGUUGCAGCAGCGGCCAAAUGUUCGGCCCUUUUAAACGAAACCCAAGCAAGAGUGGACAUUCCCGUUGGUUCUUCCCUGACUUUGUGCUACCGACUAAGGAGCCAGACACCAGGAAGAUUCCGGAUUUGCUGGCAUUUUAAUCAAUCUGGGUCUUCGUUGGACCACUCUAAAGAACUCCAUUGCUCCAAUUUAAACAGAAGUGGAAACAAAGACAUGGCGCUCAGCUAUACUUUAUCCAACAUCAAUGAGCGGCACAGUGGAUGGUAUUUUUGCCGCAUCCACGUGGAUAUUCCAAAUUUGACGACUAUGAACAGUAGUGGGACGCAAGUGUAUGUUCGUAAGUAUUUCCCGCUUCUUUCGUUUGUCUAUGUAUGGAAGAGCAUUCGGCCCAGUGAAGGAAAAAAAAAUGGGGGUGACAGGAUUCAGAUAUUUUUUCUCAGAAUUUUCACUUUAAAGUGAGAAGUCUGAGAAUAAAGCCAGAAUUCUAACUUUAAAGUGGGAAUUCCCACUAUCUGACUUUAAAGUCAGAAUUCUGACUUUAAAGUCAGAAUUCCCACUUUAAAGUCAGAAUUCUGAGAAUAAAGUCAGAAUUCCCAAUUUAAAGUCAGAAUUCUGAGAAUAAAGUCAGAAUUCUCACUUUAAAGUCACUAAGUCAUUGACUUUAAAGUGAGAAUUCUGAGAAUAAAAUCAGAAUUUUCACUUUAAAGUCACUAAGUCACUGACUUUAAAGUGAGAAUUCUGACUUUAUUCUCAGAAUUCUCACUUUAAAGUAAAUUCUGAGAAAAAAAGUCAGUAUCCUGUCACCUACGACCCCAUUUUUUUUUUCUUCACUGCCCCUAAUCCUUUUACUUAUCUAUGUACACUGGAUUUUCUCAACUUUUUGUUGAGCCACGUAUUUGCCAUGAGAAAAAUCUCACGUCGAAACAAAUUGAUCAUGCAUUAAUGUGAGCACAAAGUAUUUCAGAAGAGUGAUGUAUUUCUUGCAGAGGGUAUUUCUGUGCCUCCCACAGAUGUUUCCCUGCUGAAUAAAUGGUGGUUGUGGAUUACCGUUGGAAUACUCUGCCUCAUCAUCGUGGCCCUGAUGAUUCUCUGUGUGCACCAAAUCCGACGACGUCAACGACGUAAAGAAGCACAUGCAGUUUACGUGAACACACAUCACUCCACACGACCUCCUGCUCUCGGGGACCAGCUUAGGGUGGCCCCCAGCAGCCAGAUGGCUCGGACCCCAAGUCCUGCCAGGGACAAGGACCGCAGCAGAAAACAGAGGCCCAAAUAGAGCCCACAAACACCAUGUUUCUUUCCAAUGUUAUUUAUACUCAAUACAAAGUUGUGAUUCCAAUUUGAUAAUGUAUUUUUAUUCUUAGUUGCGCCCCCCCCUCCAAUUUCCAUGUCCUUUGUUGUGAAUAUAGCUAGCUAGCAAGUUGUAUAGCUUUAAAGCCAUAUGAAAUACUUGUUCAGUCGUGAUCCACCAUGUGAGCAUUUCCAUUCAAUGUAGCAAUGUUUAUUUGAUUUCCAUGUUGUUUAAAGUUUUUUUUUUUCGGCAAACAUGCAUCAUCUUGAAAUGCAUGCACAUUGAAUAUAAUGCUCGUGUAACACACGUAGUACAUAUAAAAAAAUAUAUUGUACUGAAAAAUAAAGCUCAAAUGACACUUUGUGUAAUAAAAGUCUGCAGGAGUUGGACAAAAAAAAUUUGUAAAGCACGUUUGGAAUUAGCAGACAAGUUAAAAGUCAAUGCAUAGACGGCAAAACAAGUUAAAUGGCAGCCGAGGUGUCAUGCAGCAUUGUUCGCUGAAUUAGUACAGCGAGUCCAAGUGACAAUCCGUCACAUGCAUGGCUUAUUUUCAGAAAGAAAAUCUCAGUAUCAGUCGA